rnacentral:rRNA from 1 species
AUUGAACGCUGGCGGCAUGCCUUACACAUGCAAGUCGAACGGCAGCACGGACUUCGGUCUGGUGGCGAGUGGCGAACGGGUGAGUAAUAUAUCGGAACAUACCUUGUAGUGGGGGAUAACUAUCCGAAAGGAUAGCUAAUACCGCAUACGCUCUAAGGAGGAAAGUGGGGGAUCGCAAGACCUCAUGCUAUAAGAGUGGCCGAUAUCUGAUUAGCUAGUUGGUGAGGUAAAGGCUCACCAAGGCGACGAUCAGUAGCUGGUCUGAGAGGACGACCAGCCACACUGGAACUGAGACACGGUCCAGACUCCUACGGGAGGCAGCAGUGGGGAAUUUUGGACAAUGGGGGCAACCCUGAUUCAGCAAUGCCGCGUGAGUGAAGAAGGCCUUCGGGUUGUAAAGCUCUUUUGUCAGGGAGGAAACGGUUGUGGCUAAUAUCCAUGGCUAAUGACGGUACCUGAAGAAUAAGCACCGGCUAACUACGUGCCAGCCGCCGCAGUAA